UCUUAUAAUUAUUAUUUCAUUCAAGUAAAAUUUACAUUUAAUUAUAUAUAGUAUUAAAAUGGGAUCAAAGGCAUUUUUGUUAAUUAUUUUAUCUAUUUUUCUUGUGAUAAGCUCAGAGGUUGCAGCUAGGAAGUUGGCUCAGAGCUCCAUCACUUCCCUCGAAGAGGAACAAACAAAUGAAGAAAACAAUGCCAAAUUUCUAGGGUUAGCGCUUGCACCAAUAGGAGGAGGACUUCCAGGAAUCGGAGCACCUAUCGCGAUGAGAGGAUUGUUUGAUAAAGAAGGACUUUUAGUAAUUGGAGCACCUAUUGAUUCCGGAGGACUUCCAUGAACUAUAGUAGUACUUCUAGGUAUAAAUCUGAGUUAGUCGAGCCAUAAACGAAUAUUGAAUCUCAAAAUUGAAAAAUAAAAAAUAAUAUGAAUAAAUAUAUCAUAAAUCUCCAUUCAUUUAUUAUUAUGGUUGGAUGGAUGGUUAUCAUAUCUCUUUUUAUGAUAAUAAAUAAUCUCAGAGGGCUUAGGGAUCAUAAGAAUAACGUUGAAUAGGGUAAUGCUCGUACUAGCAAUGUUGGUGUAGUUAUGUAGUAGUUAUUUCUUAUGCACGACAUAAUUUUAAUUUUACUUAUUUAUUUAUAAAAUUACGCUCAAUAUUGAUGCAUUUA